AGUACCUAGUAAUAGGUAUGCUUUAGGAGGGGCUUGCGCCAUAUUAGUUAGUUGGUAGGGUAAUGGCCUACCAAGACGAUGAUGUGUAGCUGGACUGAGAGGUUGAACAGCCACAUUGGGACUGAGACACGGCCCAAACUCCUACGGGAGGCAGCAGUAGGGAAUUUUCGGCAAUGGAGGAAACUCUGACCGAGCAACGCCGCGUGAAUGACGAAGUACUUCGGUAUGUAAAGUUCUUUUAUCAAGGAAGAAAAGCAAAUGGCGAACCAUUUGUUUGCCGGUACUUGAUGAAUAAGCCCCGGCUAAUUAUGUGCCAGCAGCCGCGGUAAGACAUAAGGGGCAAGUGUUAUCCGGAAUUAUUGGGCGUAAAGGGUGCGUAGGCGGUCUAGUAAGUCAGUGGUGUAAUGGCAACGCUUAACGUUGUCCGGCUAUUGAAACUGCUAAACUUGAGUUAGAUAGAGGCGAGUGGAAUUCCAUGUGUAGCGGUAAAAUGCGUAAAUAUAUGGAGGAACACCAGAGGCGUAGGCGGCUCGCUGGGUCUUAACUGACGCUGAGGCACGAAAGCGUGGGGAGCAAACAGGAUUAGAUACCCUGGUAGUCCACGCCGUAAACGAUGAGUACUAAGUGUCGGGUUAAACCGGUACUGAAGUUAACACAUUAAGUACUCCGCCUGAGUAGUACGUACGCAAGUAUGAAACUUAAAGGAAUUGACGGGACUCCGCACAAGCGGUGGAUCAUGUUGUUUAAUUCGAAGAUACCCGAAAAACCUUACCAGGUCUUGACAUGUUUUUGCAAAAUGAUAGUAAUAUCGUGGAGGUUACCAGAAACACAGGUGGUGCAUGGUUGUCGUCAGCUCGUGUCGUGAGAUGUUAGGUUAAGUCCUAAAACGAGCGAAACCCUUAUCGUUAGUUGCCAGCACGUUAUGGUGGGGACUUUAACGAGACUGCCAAUGAUAAAUUUGAGGAAGGUGAGGAUCACGUCAAAUCAGCAUGCCCCUUAUGACCUGGGCUACAAACGUGAUACAAUGGCUGUUACAAAGGGUAGGUGAAACGCAAGUUCUUGGCCAAUCCCCAAAAACAGUCCCAGUCGGGGAUUGAAGUCUGCAACUCGACUUCAUGAAGUUGGAAUCGCUAGUUAUCGUUGAUCAGCAGCUCCCUAUCAAGUCAGACCGAUACG
rnacentral:rRNA from 1 species